rnacentral:lncRNA from 1 species
AAUUCAACAACAACAUCUCAACAUAAUUCAUACCCAAGUCAUGCAAUGAGAUUAUCAUCAACAAUUAACCACAAUCACAACUUAUGAUCAAGCAUUCCAUCAUGUUUCAACAACAACAUGUCGUAAUUCACCAAUUUCACAAAACCACCAACAACAAUCCAUUUCUCAACAACAAAUCAUGAAUCAUGCAAACUCAAGCCAUGAAUUAUCAUCAACAACAUGACAUAGCAACAACAACAUCAAUUGAUCAUGAAACUUAUCACAAUUCAUCAACAACAAUGCAUAAUUCACCAAUUGAGCAUAUUUUCAACACAUACC